UACAGAGGUCUCAAGCGUUGUUCGGAUUCAUUGGGCGUAAAGGGUGCGUAGGCGGCGCGGUAAGUCGGGUGUGAAAUCUCGGAGCUUAACUCCGAAACUGCAUUCGAUACUGCCGUGCUUGAGGACUGGAGAGGAGACUGGAAUUUACGGUGUAGCGGUGAAAUGCGUAGAUAUCGUAAGGAAGACCAGUGGCGAAGGCGGCUCACUGGCCCGAUACUGACGCUGAGGUGCGAAAGCGUGGGGAGCAAACAGG
rnacentral:rRNA from 1 species